UUUUUUCUUUUUUUUUUUUUUUGCUUUUUAGGGCUGCACUGAGGCAUAUGGAAGUUCACAGGCUAGGGGUGGAAUUGGAGCUGCAGCCUAUGCCUCAGCUACAGCAACACAGAAACCAAGCUGUGUCUGCUACCUACACCACAGCUCACGGCAAUGCUGGAUCCUUGACCCACUGAUUGAGGCCAGGGAUUGAAUCUGCAUCCUCAUGAUACUAGUCAGGUUCGUUUCCUCUGAGCCACAGCGGCAACUCCCUAACAUUUUAAAGUCACUAUAAUUUGCCAUGUGAAUGGAGUAAAAGGAUAAUCUCAAUAGGUUAUAUGAUUUUCUCAAUAGAUACAGAAAAUGUAUUUGGUUAAUUUCAAAUCUGUUUCCCAGAAAAAAAUCUUAACUAGGAAAAGAAAGGAAAUUCCUAGCUGAUAAAAAGUAUGUAUAAAACAUACACUAACUAUGAUAUGCAAGAGUAAAUGUUAAAUGUUUGCUCGCUGAAAAAUGUUCACUAGCAUCACUGUAUUAAUCACCACAGCAGAAGUCCAGUACAAGAAGGGAAGAGAAAGAAAUGUAUUUGGAUUAUAGUAGAAAUAAAAGUGCCAGCCUGUUUUCUUUUAUUCUGUUCACAUGGUAAGUUAAUGUUAUACUUUAAAGUAGACUAACAACUGAGGACUCUCUGUAGGCAGCACUCUUAGCAUUUUUUGGUUGCCCCAGGUAAAGAUCGUUCCCUUGCUUAAGGCCACAGCCACUUCUUAGGGGCAGCUUUAUCCAAUGACCGGGGUAUGUGGUAUAUAAAGUCAUGGCUCCUUCAUUCCAACUUGAGCGUCCUAGCGUCAGAAUACCCUGCAGACUUGGCGGAGGCCUUUGUUGAGACUGCAUCACCAUCCUCUCCUUCUGCCCAGUCUUAUUUUAUUUACAUCCCUUCCAUGGGGGUUGAUUCUAAAAGCUGCCUAAUAAACUUAUUCCAGACUAGUCUCCACCUUCCAUCCUGAUUUCUGGGGCACCAAACCUACAGCAAUUGGCACUAGAAGCGGCUGGAGAAAGCAGAUGCUAAGAGGAGAUUUUGAAGCUGGAGUACCUGCUGCUUGAGUGGCAGUGAAGACCCAUCCUUGGUGGUAAGUGGAACACAGACUUUGACAUGAGGUAGAACUGCAAUUAUAAGAGUUUUUACUGUGGCAAACUGGGAUGAUAUACUGGCAGAAUGGGACUCACAAGCCGGUUGUGAUAGCAGGCCUCUGAGAAAUAUGUAGUAACCAUACCAAAAUGGACAGUGGACUUGGAGAGCUGUUGCUAAGCUUCACUAAUGCUUUGGAAAAAGAUAACAAAAGGCUCGGAGUGAUAAAUUGGCAAUUAAAAGCUAAGAGGGAAAUCCAAAGAGCUUCCUUGGUAGCCUAUAAAGAGACCUUAAUCUCCAUAGCCUAAAAGCAGAGAAAGCUGAAGACCAGGCCCAGGUCAGAGCUCUAAAGCUAGGCCUGUACUAUGGUCUGUCCCCACCCCCGCCCCAAAUUCAUAUGUUGAAACCUAAUCCCUAAGGUGAGAGUAUUUGGAGAUGGGCCUUUAGAUGAUUAAGUCAUGAGAGGGGAACUGUUGAAAUUAAUGCUCUUAUAAAAGAGGCCCCACAGAGCUUUCUAUCCCCUUCCACUCUGUGAGGACACAGGGUGAAGGCACCCUCUGAAAGAAAGCGGUUUCCCAUGAGAUGCUGAAUCUGCUCACACCGUAAUAUUGGACUCCCCAGUCUCUAGAACUGUGAGGCAUAAAUGUUUGUUGUUUAUAAGCCACCCAGACGGUGGCAACUUGUUAUAGUAGCCUCAGCAAACUAAGAGAGCAUGUCUGUUAUGUGUGGGUUCAGGUCAGGAAAUAAUAGAAUCACAUUAGACAAAAACUUUGAAUCUCCAGGUUCUCCAAACCUCGGAACCUAGGAAAGUGGCACACACCUCUAUUAAUGAACUGCUGCUUCUCCCUUCUUUGAAGAUUGCAGACAUUUCCCCUGUGUAAGACACAUGCCAUACCCUCUCCCAGGAUCUGCCCCCAGUUUCCUCCUGGCCCAAAGCCCCUAAAUAACAAGGGUCGAACACGAGAUAGCUGGGGAAAGGUCAUUCUGAGCCUGGGAAGGGAGAAAAGGGGCCAGACUUGAAAGGAGAGGCAGGAUCUAGUCAAUAUGACCAAUAGGAGCCAGAAAAAAAAUAUGCACGGGACUAUAUUCUGAGGGCACUGGAUCUAGGGGGAGAACAUAAGAUUUGAUAAAACAAGAAUUUAUUGAUUUGGGAACACUCUGUCAAGAUACAGAGUUUAACAACCUGGCAAGGACCCUGCCAGAUGGCACAAACACAGUUAGAGUGGCUUCUACAGACAAGGGAAUAGUAACAGUCUACAUUCAAUGAAGUAGAAAAGCCAGUGACGCCAGAAUGCGAUCCCUGUGCCAGACAACAGGAGGAAACAAAAGGCGCAGAGAACUAGCUGUGUUAGGGAGAUCUGUGUUGGAAUGUCGGAAAGUCCACUGGAUGUCUGUGGUCCUGAGGCAAAGCCCUGACAGGUGGCGACACAGAGUACAGCCCACCCCAUGUACCUCUCACAUACAUUGCUUUCUGUAACUUCUGGGAGUAACUCCCCUGGGACUCCCAUGUGUGUCUUUCUCCAAAGGAGAGGUUGGUGGGAGGCUCUGCAGCCCCUGCCACUUGUAUCUGGUCUCAGGAGCUGUAACUGAUACUCACUGUUUUCUUCCACUAAACUCUUCUCACCCUUGCUGAGCAUCUCAGCUGGGCUGAGCAGCUUACCUGGCGGUGUGAUUAUCCUUUAUUUCUGAGUAGUCUGAGCUCUUGGUCGCCAUGCUUUGUCCAGCCAGGGCCUCGGUACUUGUGUGUUUACAGGUAACACUGGUUGAAGGAGAUCAACAAGCAUCCCUGGGUACCGGACAUACUCCUUCAUGCUGUUAUUGUGUAACCAGAGCUCUAGCUCGUGAGAUUUGGCAGAACAAAGAUGUCUUUAAAGGCCAUGUAAACAUGCACUCUAAGAGAAAAAAAGACACCUUUUAUUACAAAAAAAUUAGUAUUUUUAGAUCAAAAACAAUGUUAAGGGAGUGGAAAAUCAUCCACAGAUUAGGAUAACUCACAUUUAAGACAUAACAAUAUUCCUAUAAAAUAUGCUGAUCCAUGUCCAGCGUAUAUAAAGAAACCACGAAUUGCAUAGAGGAAAAAGUUAACCUAAUAGAAAACGGGCAAAAGACGUAGGCCUCUCACAGACGAGGAUGUCUACAUGGGCAAUGGUGAAGCUACAGGUCAUUAGCCACGAAGGAAAUGCAAAUUAAAACCCUAGUGGACAUCAUUUCAGUCUUCCCGCGAAGGCUCAACUGCAGAAGAUAGAAAGCACCACGAGCUGGGGAGACACGGAAGGGCUGAACUUCCAUAAACUGCUUGUCCGGAAAGAUAAGUUGAUACAACUUAUACUUACCUGAGAAAUAUCUGCUACAGAUGCUUAUACACACCCUAUGUAGUAACCCCUACAAAUAUGCACAGACAUGUGACAAGAGGCAGGAACAAGAACGGUUUGUGCUGGUGGUAUUUUUAACAGCCAAAACCUGAAAGUAAUCAAAGGCCUACUUCACAGGAGAAUGGAGAAAUAAAUUGGAGUAUACUCAAUAAAGGACAGCCAAACACAUUUCAUGGUUCCAUUUAUACACAUUUACAAACCAGGCAAGACUAAUAAGAGGAGGAAGGUUUAGUCAUGGGAAACGGGCACAGGGCGGGGCACUUCUGAGAGGUGAAGUUCAGUUCCUUGAUCUCGGUGGCCAGACACGUGGAUAUGCCCUCUUAGAAAAAAUUUUUCCUACUUGGAGAAAAUUCAUGGAGCUGCACAGUGAUGAUUCUGCACUUUCCUUUAGGUAUGUGGUACCCCAGUUAAAAUGUUAAAAGUAAAGUUAGCCAACCAGCGGAGUCUUUGAACUAGCAACUUAUAUUUAAAAACAAACAAACAAAAAUAAAUAAAAACUAAACACGGUCGUAUCUGUGAUGGAACCUUUUUGUUCAGGUGGUUCAGCAGGAUGCCUUUUGUAUGUUUCAUGAGCUCACCCUCUAUUCUCUAGCGCAUUGGUCCAUUUUUUUCCUCUUGGUACUAAUUACUGUUUGAAAUUGUUUACUUGUCUGACUAUAAUGUACAAGCAGGGAUCUUAUCUUUUGUUUACUGCUAUAUCCAGAUCAGUGCUUGGCACAUAGUAGGAGCUCAGUUAAUAUUUUCUGAGUGAAGGGAAAAAGGUGGUGAGAGUAUGUAUAAAAAGACAAGGCCUUUGCUUGAUCAGAAGUUAAACUCAUUCUAACACUGGCUUUGUUCAGUGAUAGUCACAUUUUAGAGCUACACACAAGCAUCUGCUAUUCUUAAAAAUUAGUGCAGAAGAUAUGCCUUGUUACUGUGCAUCCGAAACUCUCUAUCUUCUAAUUUCUGUAUUUUCCAUCAAAACAACUUUUUUUUUUUUUUUUUUUUUUGGCUGCACCCAUGACAUGUCGAAGUUCCCGGGCCAGGUAUCAAACCUGUGCCACAGCUGUGACCUGAGUGCCUGCAGUAACAAUGCUGGAUCCUUAGCCCAGUGCACCACAAAGGAACUCCAAAACAUCUAUUUUUUUAAAACAGCAUUUUUCAUAGUUGUAGAUUCUUGGGACUACAGUUAUGCAUUUAAGUAGUAAAGACUAAAUGUAAUAAAAUGACAAAGUGGAAGGGCUAGAUUAUAAUCCCUACAAAAAUUUGAAGGAGGAAGAGAUUCUCUGGGGCUAAAGCAGCCAGAAAACUUUCUGGAAGAAGAUGGGUCCUGAGCUUCUGUGAAUAAUGAAUAGGGUGGGAGAAGGGAGAAGGCGUUUGGGUGAGAGAAGCAACACUGAAACAUGAGAAGGGGGGCUGUGUCCAUUUCCCUCUGCCUGGGGUCCAGGGCAACCAGAUGGCACUGGGGUUGAUCGUGGAAGCUCCAGAGAUAUAGAAGGAAAUGUGGUUCAGGAGCCCAACAUGAAUGUUUAAGCACCUGGGGCAGCAUCCUGUUCCAGCUCAUUGCCUACCUCUUCUGUGCCCAGAAUCACAUUCAGUAUUAUUGUUGAUUAAAACCACAAGAUUUGCUGGUGGUGAUGAUGAUACUGGUAGGGAAGGUACACGUGUAUGUACACAUGUUGGCAGUGUCAGAAUAAUAUGUAUUCACUCCCCUCAUUUGCUAAAUUUGUUCCUCUUACAAGUAGUGGUACAAAUAUUUCUACAUUCAUUACAUAGUAAUGGGGUGUCUGUUGUGAGCUAGGGAUGAGGAUAGAAAGAUAAAAGAGACACUUUUGGCUUUUAUGGCAUUCACUACCUAGUGGGAUAGAACUGUCAACAUACAUAAUGACUAUUUGGUGGGAUAUGUAUGGUGUCAAUUAUAUUUAAAGUACACCAGAUAUAGAUGGAGACAGUAAUCAAAACGGGUGCAGGGCACUUUCAGGGACAAGGAGAGAUCAUUGGACAGGUCCAUGUAUAACUCCUGGGAUAUAGCAAUUUGGUUGCUUUGAAUAAGUGAUGUUGUCAUUGCCAAUCCUGAGCAAAUGAAAAGGAAAGGAGUGAGGGAUAAGUAGGAGCCACACAAGACAGCUCCAGGGUUAAGUCCAGCCAGGAAGCAGUGGCCCAUUUGGCCUAUAGAGCUGGGGGGAGGGGAGAGAGAGAAUAAAAAAAAAAAGAUUAGUUAUCAUAAUUCCAAAGUCAGGAGAUCACAAAAAGGUCUGGAUUAACAAUUUCUCUUGAGAUGGUGGAAGAUUUGGCAACAAGUGGAUUGUGGUCUCUGAUAGUCCCUAGCCAGCUCUGCUCAUGCAGCUGCUCCUCUCUCCUGGCCCCUGUGUGGAUCUGAACUUGAUCCGUAUUUAAUGGGAUGGCGGGGUCAGAGACCAGCUGAGGAGAUCCAUAGCACAUAAUACUGGCUAAUAAAAAAGGCUCACACCGCAUGGUCUUAUGUUAAAAGCAGAAAGAACUUAUUUAUAAAAACAGACUCACAGAUUUCAAAAUAAAACUUUGGGUUACCAUAGGGGAAACUGGGGUGCGGGGGAGAGGGAUCGAUUAGGAGGAUGGGGAUAACAUAUACAUACUUCUGUGUAUAAAACAGAUAACUAACAGGGUCCUACUGUAUAGCACAGGGAGCUAUUCUGUAAUAACCUCUAUGGGAAAACAAUGGAUAUAUGUAUAUGUAUAACGGAGUCACUUUGCUGUCCAGCUGAAACUAACACAACAUUGUAAGUCAGCGCUACUCUGAUAAAAGGAGCAUUUCACAAAUCUGCAGUGGAAUUGUAUACUCAUUGAUUAAUUAAGACCUAACCCUAAAGAAUGGAAUCACCAGCAGCAUUUGUGUCCUUAACAUAUUUCAUAAUU
rnacentral:lncRNA from 1 species